CAAGUCGAACGCCCCGCAAGGGGAGUGGCAGACGGGUGAGUAACGCGUGGGAACAUACCCUUUCCUGCGGAAUAGCUCCGGGAAACUGGAAUUAAUACCGCAUACGCCCUACGGGGGAAAGAUUUAUCGGGGAAGGAUUGGCCCGCGUUGGAUUAGCUAGUUGGUGGGGUAAAGGCCUACCAAGGCGACGAUCCAUAGCUGGUCUGAGAGGAUGAUCAGCCACAUUGGGACUGAGACACGGCCCAAACUCCUACGGGAGGCAGCAGUGGGGAAUAUUGGACAAUGGGCGCAAGCCUGAUCCAGCCAUGCCGCGUGAGUGAUGAAGGCCUUAGGGUUGUAAAGCUCUUUCACCGGAGAAGAUAAUGACGGUAUCCGGAGAAGAAGCCCCGGCUAACUUCGUGCCAGCAGCCGCGGUAAUACGAAGGGGGCUAGCGUUGUUCGGAAUUACUGGGCGUAAAGCGCACGUAGGCGGAUAUUUAAGUCAGGGGUGAAAUCCCAGAGCUCAACUCUGGAACUGCCUUUGAUACUGGGUAUCUUGAGUAUGGAAGAGGUAAGUGGAAUUCCGAGUGUAGAGGUGAAAUUCGUAGAUAUUCGGAGGAACACCAGUGGCGAAGGCGGCUUACUGGUCCAUUACUGACGCUGAGGUGCGAAAGCGUGGGGGAGCAAACAGGAUUAGAUACCCUGGUAGUCCACGCCGUAAACGAUGAAUGUUAGCCGUCGGGCAGUAUACUGUUCGGUGGCGCAGCUAACGCAUUAAACAUUCCGCCUGGGGAGUACGGUCGCAAGAUUAAAACUCAAGGAAUUGACGG
rnacentral:rRNA from 1 species